UACGGAGGGGGCAAGCGUUGUUCGGAAUUACUGGGCGUAAAGGGCUCGUAGGCGGCCAACUAAGUCAGACGUGAAAUCCCUCGGCUUAACCGGGGAACUGCGUCUGAUACUGGAUGGCUUGAAUCCGGGAGAGGGAUGCGGAAUUCCAGGUGUAGCGGUGAAAUGCGUAGAUAUCUGGAGGAACACCGGUGGCGAAGGCGGCAUCCUGGACCGACACUGACGCUGAGGCGCGAAAGCCAGGGGAGCAAACGGG
rnacentral:rRNA from 1 species